ACUCCUACGGGAGGCAGCAGUGGGGAAUUUUGCGCAAUGGGGGAAACCCUGACGCAGCAAUACCGCGUGAAGGAUGAAGGCCUUUGGGUCGUAAACUUCUGUCAGAGGGGAAGAAAUACUCGCAAGAGUGCUGACGGUACCCUCAAAGGAAGCACCGGCUAACUCCGUGCCAGCAGCCGCGGUAAUACGGAGGGUGCAAGCGUUGUUCGGAAUUAUUGGGCGUAAAGAGCAUGUAGGCGGACUGUUAAGUCUGGUGUGAAAGCCCGGGGCUCAACCCCGGAAGUGCAUCGGAUACUGGCAGUCUUGAGUAUGGGAGAGGAAAGUGGAAUUCCGAGUGUAGGAGUGAAAUCCGUAGAUAUUCGGAGGAACACCAGUGGCGAAGGCGGCUUUCUGGACCAAUACUGACGCUGAGAUGCGAAAGCGUGGGGAGCAAACAGGAUUAGAUACCCUGGUAGUC
rnacentral:rRNA from 1 species